GCUGGGAGAAGAAGCAAUAGUAAUAUACUCUGCGUAGUGUAUCCCAUCCCAAACCUGCCUGCAAGCUAAUUCCAGACAAAUAUUUAUGGGAAUCAUGGAAGCAAAUACAUUCAUAUACAGCCCAUUAGAGAAAAAUACGCUUUCGCUGAUAUCUUUCCAUGCUUCUGUUAAUAGCCAGAAAGAGGGCACAGAAAAGCCUGGGAGUCUGCCAGUUUAUUGAUAACAUCACUUACUAUAGCUGAUGUACUGACGUAGCUUUUUAUUUGACCAUAAUUGAGGGGCGAUUAUUGUAUUAAUAAAGCAAGAGUUGAAUAUUCGCUGUUGAAUGCAAUCAUCAUCAUCUUCCUCUACUCAGAAGGAAGAAGAAUUUCAUUUAAACCACAAAAAAAGCCUACAGCAGUAUCAGCCAAAACUAGAUUAGCUUGUUUCCCACUGCUUCAUAAUGCUUGGGUGUUAGUAACUCUUUUUAGAUAUUACAAUGUUGUCAAGCAACAAUUAAAAACACAACAAUGCUUAGGCAAAUAUCAUAAACCUUUUGUAACUGAUUUGUAGCAGUCAAAUAUUUGCACUUUGUAGAACAGAAAAAAAUCAAAAUCAACCAUGAAUGAUGGUAUUAUUUGAUCCUCUGAAGAUUUAAAAUACUUCAUUUUGAAAAUAUAUGUAAAAAAACACCAAAACCCUCUAAUGGGCUGUAUACAUUUCCUUAUAAUGAAUACAUGGAAAUGCAAACACUAUUGGACAGGUGUAACUACCUAAUUACAUUCUAAUUGGAUUAUUAUUAUAUUAUUACUAGUAAAAAUUCUUAACCCUUCAGUGUCCACAGUUUCCAGGGGAAGUAGAAACCAGCCUUGCCCCAGAAAGCUUACAAUCUCAGCAAUGAUACUAAUCCCUGCAAGUCAUAUUAUCCUAGGUUAAGUACACCUACAGUAAAGAACAGGAGAGCUGAUCCAAAAAUCACAUCACAUUUCUGGCACAAAGCAGAAACCUCAACUCAUUCUUAAACUCUGUGCUUCACUCAGGUAUAUUUAUUUUCCCUCAAAUAAAAUAAAAUGCCAUACUACAUGAAAAAUGGUACAAAUGAGUAUAUGCUGUGUAGCUCCCCUGAUACUCCCAACCUUCUCCCUGGGCAAGGUCAGGGUAUGUUCAAACAGCUCAUAGUUUGAAGCAAGAGAACACUUAAAGCUUGUUAAAUCUUACCCAAAUAUUGUAAUACAGAAUAAAGAGGAUUUAUGCACUCUUAAACUUUUUCACUGCUACCCAAAGCAGUCCUGACCAUACUCCUCCUCCCCCACGCUUCCUAUUCUCACAUACUCCACCCUCCCUCUUGCCAGCAGUAGUGUAAGUUGUACAUUUAGCUUAAAAAUAACCUAAAGGGUUACAAUUUUUGCAUGUUGUGGGGAGUUAAUAUUUAACCCAGAUUACUUCCCAAUCUUGUUCCUGUGUCACUGGACACAGAGGUGUGAACCUGAUUAAUGAGAAGCAGAGUAGAAAUAGCUGCAUCUCCUUAAGCCUUGCUCCUGCCAAGGGGACAGCAUGAGCAAAGGUUAUGAGCCCUGACUGAUCCUACACCCUCUGGGAAGGCAGUUACAAAGCAGUGUUGUCAAACAGUCAUAACUAGGGAUAAUGCUCAGCAGAUGCAAUUUUUGAGAGGCUCAGGCAGGACAUGAAGGAAAACUUCUUCCCCAAGAGGAACCCUCCCUCU
ensembl:lncRNA